ACCCCCCGAAACUAAACGAGCUACUCUAAAACAGCCAACAGAGCUAACCCAUCCCUGUUACAAAAGGGCGGGAAGAUUUUAAAGUAGAGGUGACACACCCAUCGAGUUUAGAGAUAGCUGGUUAUUCAAAAGACGGAUUUAAGUCCAACUUUAAGUUUCUUUUAGUGCCACCACACAACCCCUAAACUUAAAAGCCAUUCAAAUAAGGUACAGCCUAUUUGAACAAGGAAACAGCCUACAAUACUGGGUAAUAACUACACACGUGAUCAAGUGGGCCCAAAAGCAGCCAACUUCUAAAAAGCGUCCAAGCUUCAUCACUAACCUUUACCAAUACCACCAUUUAUACAUAACCCCCAAUCAAUACUGAAUGACCCCAUACCACGCCCCUAUGGAGAACAUUAUGCUAGAACUAGUAACAAGAAGACGAACCUCUCCAAAAUGCAAGCAUAAGCCAAAAUUGAACCCCUCACUGUCACCUACCGCUACUCCAACCCAUAGUAUCAACCACACAAGAAAACCCCACUCUACCUAGCGUCAACCUUACACAAGA
rnacentral:rRNA from 1 species